rnacentral:rRNA from 1 species
UUGACGGGGGCCCGCACAAGCGGUGGAGCAUGUGGUUUAAUUCGAUGCAACGCGAAGAACCUUACCAGGUCUUGACAUCUGUGGAACCUUGUUGAAAGAUGAGGGUGCCUUCGGGAGCCACAAGACAGGUGGUGCAUGGUUGUCGUCAGCUCGUGUCGUGAGAUGUUGGGUUAAGUCCCGCAACGAGCGCAACCCUUGCUAUUAGUUGCUAACAUUUAAGGUGAGCACUCUAAUGGGACUGCCUGUGACAAGCAGGAGGAAGGUGGGGAUGACGUCAAAUCAUCAUGCCCUUUAUGACCUGGGCUACACACGUGCUACAAUGGAUGGUACAGAGAGCAGCGAGACCGUGAGGUGGAGCGAAUCUCUUAAAGCCAUUCUCAGUUCGGAUUGGAGUCUGCAACUCGACUCCAUGAAGUCGGAAUCGCUAGUAAUCGCGAAUCAGAACGUCGCGGUGAAUGCGUUCCCGGGCCUC